rnacentral:piRNA from 1 species
UCAUCCUGCCAAUGCAUGAUCAUGUGAGGU